rnacentral:rRNA from 1 species
GCUAUACCGACCUGCAUGAUGGCGUAACGAGAUGGGAGCUGUCUCAACCAGAGAUUCAGUGAAAUUGUAGUGGAGGUGAAAAUUCCUCCUACCCGCGGCAAGACGGAGAGACCCCGUGGACCUUUACUACAACUUAGCACUGCUAAUGGGAAUAUCAUGCGCAGGAUAGGUGGGAGGCUUUGAAGUAAGGGCUUUGGCUCUUAUGGAGCCAUCCUUGAGAUACCACCCUUGAUGUUUCCAGCG